GCUCACGUGGCGGAAUUGGUAGACGCGCACGCUUGAGGGGCGUGUGGCUUAACGGCCGUGAUGGUUCGACUCCAUUCGUGAGCAC
rnacentral:tRNA from 1 species